ACUCAGUGGCGGACGGGUGAGUAACACGUAAGAAUUUGCCUUUAGGAGGGGGAUAACAACUGGAAACGGUUGCUAAUACCCCAUAUGCUUUCGAGUGAAAUGGGUUUCCGCCUAAAGGGAAGCUUGCGGCUGAUUAGCUUGUUGGUGAGGUAAUGGCUCACCAAGGCGACGAUCAGUAUCUGGUUUGAGAGGAUGAUCAGACACACUGGAACUGAGACACGGUCCAGACUCCUACGGGAGGCAGCAGUGGGGAAUUUUCCGCAAUGGGCGAAAGCCUGACGGAGCAAUACCGCGUGAGGGAUGACGGCCUAUGGGUUGUAAACCUCUUUUUUCAGGGAGGAAUCAAUGACGUGUACCUGAAGAAUAAGCAUCGGCUAACUCCGUGCCAGCAGCCGCGGUAAGACGGAGGAUGCAAGUGUUAUCCGGAAUCACUGGGCGUAAAGCGUCUGUAGGUGGUCAAAUAAGUCAACUGUUAAAUCUUGAGGCUCAACCUCAAAAUCGCAGUCGAAACUAUUAGACUAGAGUAUAGUAGGGGUAAAGGGAAUUUCCAGUGGAGCGGUGAAAUGCGUAGAGAUUGGAAGGAACACCGAUGGCGAAGGCACUUUACUGGGCUAUUACUAACACUCAGAGACGAAAGCUAGGGUAGCAAAUGGGAUUAGAUACCCCAGUAGUCCUAGCUGUAAACAAUGGAUACUAGAUGUUGAACAGAUCGACCUGUGCAGUAUCAAAGCUAACGCGUUAAGUAUCCCGCCUGGGAAGUAUGCUCGCAAGAGU
rnacentral:rRNA from 1 species